rnacentral:snRNA from 1 species
GGAUGUGAGGGCGAUCUAGCUGCGACAUCUGUCACCCAUUGACCGCCAGGGUUGAUUCAGCUGAUCUGGGUGGCUAGGUGGGUGUCCCCUUCCUCUGUCACUGCUCUGUGUGCAUCCCUUCCGAAGCUGUGCACUCUGGAAGAGGACAACCAUCCCGGAUAGAGGAGGGUCAGUCUUUGGUCAAGGCUAUAUGAGUAGCUGCAUUCCCCUGCUAGAACCUCCAAACAAGCUCUCAGGGUCCAUAAAAUAUCCAUAUAUUACCUGGGAGCUAUUCAUCCAUUAACUUAGCCAGUUGUUCCUAACUAAAGUGUCGUGACAUGCUGCUGUAGCUU